rnacentral:pre_miRNA from 1 species
GAGUCCGUGUCCUAAAACCAGUCCCAGCAGACAAAACAUAGUAUGGUCGAGUGUUUUGUUUGCUUGGGACUGCAGUUAGGGCGCGUAAAC